rnacentral:rRNA from 1 species
UUACCGGUCGGCGACGCUACUGCUUUGGGUACUUUCAGGACCCGUCUUGAAACACGGACCAAGGAGUCUAACAUGUGCGCGAGUCAUUGGGUUAUUGUUAAAAAUCGAAUAAGCCUAAAGGCGCAAUGAAAGUGAAGGUCGACCUUAGCGUCGAUCGAGGGAGGAUGGCUCGGGUUCGCUCGAGUCCGCACUCCCGGGGCGUCUCAUGGUCAUUUCGACCAGAGGCGCACCCAGAGCGUACACGUUGGGACCCGAAAGAUGGUGAACUAUGCCUGGUCAGGACGAAGUCAGGGGAAACCCUGAUGGAGGUCCGUAGCGAUUCUGACGUGCAAAUCGAUCGUCGGAACUGGGUAUAGGGGCGAAAGACUAAUCGAACCAUCUAGUAGCUGGUUCCCUCCGAAGUUUCCCUCAGGAUAGCUGGCACUCGCUCGAUAGCGAGUCUCAUCUGGUAAAGCGAAUGAUUAGAGGCCUUGGGGCCGAAACGACCUCAACCUAUUCUCAAACUUUAAAUGGGUGAGAUCUCUGGCUUGCUUGAACGUUGAAGCCAAGAGAUCGCGUCUCGUCUUAAUGGCGAGGCGCCUACGGAUCAGAGUGCCAAGUGGGCCAAUUUUGGUAAGCAGAACUGGCGCUGUGGGA